AUGCACGCUGGCGGCGUGCCUAAUACAUGCAGAUCGAGCGAACAGGCGAGGAGCUUGCUCCUCUGACGUUAGCGGCGGACGGGUGAGUAACACGUGGAUAACCUACCUAUAAGACUGGGAUAACUUCGGGAAACCGGAGCUAAUACCGGAUAAUAUAUUGAACCGCAUGGUUCAAUAGUGAAAGACGGUUUUGCUGUCACUUAUAGAUGGAUCCGCGCCGCAUUAGCUAGUUGGUAAGGUAACGGCUUACCAAGGCAACGAUGCGUAGCCGACCUGAGAGGGUGAUCGGCCACACUGGAACUGAGACACGGUCCAGACUCCUACGGGAGGCAGCAGUAGGGAAUCUUCCGCAAUGGGCGAAAGCUUGACGGAGCAACGCCGCGUGAGUGAUGAAGGUCUUCGGAUCGUAAAACUCUGUUAUUAGGGAAGAACAAAUGUGUAAGUAACUAUGCACGUCUUGACGGUACCUAAUCAGAAAGCCACGGCUAACUACGUG
rnacentral:rRNA from 1 species